GUGAGCGUAGGACCAGAGGGUGUGGGAAGACGAAUGGGGCAAGCGUGAAUCGGAAUGACAGUGCGUGAAGGGUGCGUAGGCGGUUAUUUAAGUCUGCCGUGAAAUCCCCGGGCUCAACUGGGGAAUGGCGGUGGAUACUGGAUGGCUAGAGUGUGUCAGAGGAUGGUGGAAUUCCCGGUGUAGCGGUGAAAUGCGUAGAGAUCGGGAGGAACAUCAGUGGCGAAGGCGGCCAUCUGGGACAACACUGACGCUGAAGCACGAAAGCGUGGGGAGCAAACAGGAUUAGAUACCCCAGUAGUC
rnacentral:rRNA from 1 species